rnacentral:rRNA from 1 species
AUUGAACGCUGGCGGCAGGCCUAACACAUGCAAGUCGAACGAGUGGCGGACGGGUGAGUAAUGUCUGGGAAACUGCCUGAUGGAGGGGGAUAACUACUGGAAACGGUAGCUAAUACCGCAUACCAUCGGAUGUGCCCAGAUGGGAUUAGCUAGUAGGUGGGGUAAAGGCUCACCUAGGCCACGAUCCCUAGCUGGUCUGAGAGGAUGACCAGCCACACUGGGACUGAGACACGGCCCAGACUCCUACGGGAGGCAGCAGUGGGGAAUAUUGGACAAUGGGGGAAAGCCUGAUGCAGCCAUCCCGCGUGUGUGAAGAAGGCCUUCGGGUUGUAAAGCACUUUCAGCGGGGAGGCGUUACCUGCAGAAGAAGCACCGGCUAACUACGUGCCAGCAGCCGCGGUAAUAC